GUUUUUUCUUUCUUUCUUCCUUCCUUCCUUCCUUCAUUUCAUUUCAUUUCUUUUAAUUUCAUUUAUAUUAUUUAUUUAUUUCCUUAGUUUUGAGCCUAAAUGUUCUUUUUCUGUUCCAGGAUCCAUCCAGGACAUUCAGUUAUGUCUCCUCGGGUUCCUCGUGGCUGUGACUAUUUCUCAGACUUAUCUUGUUUUUGAUGACCUUGACAGUCUGGAAGAGUACUCUUCAGAUGAGCCAUCACCAUCUCACAACCUAAUAGAGCCUUCCCUCUCCCUGAAAUACAUAACGAAUUCAGUAAGAUUUUGUGAAGAAAACAACUAAAAACUCUUGGUUGAGUUAUGUUGGACUUGGUUGGCACCCUUCCUCAGGGCAAUGAUCAUCACAAUGGAACACAACAUCAAAGUCAUUGAUGGGUCCUGGUUGCUGAAGCACAGUCAUUACCAAAGUGAACUAGGUAAUUCUCAAAAUAGAUCUGAAGAAGAUCCUGUAAGAAGCUGUAGAGGGGUAGAUGAUGGAGAAUUUGGAAGCAAUAAAAAAAUGCAUGAAUUAUUACUACACUGAGUAGGGCUACUGUCCUUUGUUAGAAAUGGUUAGCAUCAAUCUGUUACCACACUAAAUAAAUUUGAAAUUUUUUUCAAAAAGUGUCAUAAGACUUUGUGAUUUCAUUUAUGAUUACUCAGCAAG